GAUGAACGCUGGCGGCGUGCCUAAUACAUGCAAGUCGAGCGAACAGAUGAGGAGCUUGCUCCUCUGACGUUAGCGGCGGACGGGUGAGUAACACGUGGAUAACCUACCUAUAAGACUGGGAUAACUUCGGGAAACCGGAGCUAAUACCGGAUAAUAUAUUGAACCGUAUGGUUCAAUAGUGAAAGACGGUUUUGCUGUCACUUAUAGGUGGAUCCGCGCCGCAUUAGCUAGUUGGGAAGGUAACGGCGUACCAAGGCAACGAUGCGUAGCCGACCUGAGAGGGUGAUCGGCCACACUGGAACUGAGACACGGUCCAGACUCCUACGGGAGGCAGCAGUAGGGAAUCUUCCGCAAUGGGCGAAAGCCUGACGGAGCAACGCCGCGUGAGUGAUGAAGGUCUUCGGAUCGUAAAACUCUGUUAUUAGGGAAGAACAAAUGUGUAAGUAACUAUGCACGUCUUGACGGUACCUAAUCAGAAAGCCACGGCUAACUACGUG
rnacentral:rRNA from 1 species